rnacentral:rRNA from 1 species
UACGAGGGGGGCAAGCGUUGUUCGGCAUUAUUGGGCGUAAAGGGCGCGUAGGCGGCGCCACAAGUCACUUGUGAAAACUCUGGGCUCAACUCAGAGCCUGCAAGGGAAACUGUGGUGCUGGAGUAUGGGAGAGGUGCGUGGAAUUCCCGGUGUAGAGGUGAAAUGCGUAGAUAUCGGGAGGAACACCUGUGGCGAAGGCGGCGAACUGGACCACAACUGACGCUGAGGCGCGAAAGCUAGGGGAGCAAACAGG